CCUACGGGGGGCAGCAGUGGGGGAUAUUGCACAAUGGGGGGAACCCUGAUGCAGCGACGCCGCGUGGGUGAAGGAGUGCUUCGGCAUGUAAAGCCCUAUCGGCAGGGAAGAAGCAAGACGGUACCUGACUAAGAAGCCCCGGCUAACUACGUGCCAGCAGCCGCGGUAAUACGUAGGGGGCGCGCGUUAUCCGGAUUCACUGGGUGUAAAGGGAGCGUAGACGGCCAUGCAAGCCAGGGGUGAAAGCCCGGGGCCCAACCCCGGGACUGCCCUUGGAACUGUGCGGCUAGAGUGCGGGUGGGGCAGGCGGAAUUCCUGGUGUAGCGGUGAAAUGCGUAGAUAUCAGGAGGAACACCGGCGGCGAAGGCGGCCUGCUGGACUGCGACUGACGUUGAGGCUCGAAAGCGUGGGGAGCGAACAGGAUUAGAUACCCCGGUAGUC
rnacentral:rRNA from 1 species